ACGCCCGUACCAUGCUGAAUAUACCGGUUCUCGUUAGAUCACCGAAGUUAAGCAUCAUUGGGCGCGGUCAGUACUUGGGUGGGUGACCACCUGGGAACACUGCGUGCCGUU